AAAAGUCUGUGAUUGACAAUGACAAAGUUCAGCUCUGCUCGCCAGUACGAGAUUGUGAAUUUGCCAUGUAUUGCUAUCGUUAUCUGAAUUCGACGCUGUGGAGCAUAUUAGUUCAUCACAAUCCAUUUAUAAGAGCGAUGUGACGGUGAAGUCAAGUUAGUCCUUAUCUAGAGUGCUCAGCUGUAAGGUGAAGAACUCAGCGCCUUGAGGUAUUUUUGUGGUGCUUAAUUCGGUGAAAAAAAUUGUACUCAGAAGAAUUCAAAUAGUGAAACUAACGAAGUGUAAAUUGUGUCGCAACUAAGUGUAUUCCACUAAGACGCCCACAUUCAUCAGGAGUUCAACAUUAUUUAACUGACAUAACUCUGCAGGUGGUUCAAAAUGGAUCAACAAUCGUAUGAAAGUGAAAUUAAGUCGGGUGGCCACGGCGAAAAAUUCCAAACAGACGUUGCCCUCGUACUGUUGCUGCGUACGCGGGAAUUAAGUUCCACUACAAGGAUGGCGUAUGAAAUGAAGAUGGCCGACAAGUUUGACGAUGUUGUGUUGAUUGACGAUACAAACAAGGAGAUCCACUUAAUUCAAGCAAAACACGCCGAUACCAAGGAUGAAAAGGUUAAAAAUAUCGAUCUGGAUGCCCUGUUUCCAACUGGAAAUAGUGCCAAACGCACCGGGGACUUUGAUUUGUGCAAGUAUGCCAAAUCCUACAUGACUGUGACUGGAAGAUUGGAACUAACGGCGUUCAAGAAGAUGUUUUACAUCUUCACCAAUAAGGAUCUGAAACAGACCGAUAACGAGUGGGUGAAGAUCGAAGAACGAGAAGUUAAUGAAAUCCUACGUUUUUCUGGAUCCAGUGCCAAAAACCUGGAACUUAUUCCAAGCGAAAAGGCUAUCAAUUACAUCAACAAAGAUAUCAUUGCGAUUAAAGAUGCGAUCAAAGAGUUCUUUCACAGCGGAACGGUCAGCCAAAUUUUUGCUCACUAUUGCACUCCAUUGAAAGACGUUAUGAUCAUAGACCGGAAAAAGUGUCGCUUUGCAAGCAACUUCAAUGCUGAACAUACAAAUCCCAAUGUUGCCAAGCUAUACACCAUGUUGCAAAGCGAUCAGGUUGAUAUGAAGAAAGAAGUAACCGUCAACAAUAAUUUCCUGGUGAGAGACUCAAGGAUCAAACUUUUGCCACCAUUCGUUGGUGAGGAUGACAUUCGUGGCUUCUUUCGCGAUUUGACUCUAUCGGUGGGUCAACCAAACGAUUUGCAACCCAUCAUCGUUGGUGAACUACUGGCUUGGAUGAAGACGUGGAUUCAACCGGACAUUCUCGGUAAGCUGGGGCAAAAGGACUUGGAUCAGGUGUAUAUCGACCUGAAAGAUUAUUUUGUCAAAUGCAACGAACCUGACAACAAAAAUAGGAAGCGUUUUUUGGGUAUAAAACAAUGCUUUGGACAAUUAAAGCGUGGAAUGGAGACGGGUAUGAUAAAGCGCGUAAUGGCAGAGGUGGAAGAAUGGGAAUUUACGUAUAUUAACCGCCAUAUCAAGUACGAAGAGACGGCAUUAGAACCAACCGGCGGAAUGCAUGCUACUAUGGAAAGGAUGGACAUCGUAAGGGAAUCAGAGGGUAAAUUGUUAAGUAUUGUUAAGAAACGGUCAGGCAACGACAAGGUAACAUAUAAGGAUAGGACUAGCACAAUAAUUCGACAGAUAAGUGAUACUAGAUUAGUUGAAGAGCUUCGAGGAAGAUUCAAAAACCAGCAACAUAUUUUACUUGUAGCAGACCCCGGUAUGGGAAAAACCAUUUUACUGCAGUUUUUGGCAUUUCAGGUUCAAAAACAAAGCCACUCUGCAGUAUUCUUGGUGUAUUUAAGCACGCUUUGUAAUGCACUAAACAAAAUUGAAAAAGUAUCAAACUUAGACGAUGUCCGGGAAAUUCUCAGCGCUGUUCUUUCAGAGAAUAACUGUAAUCUCAUCCUUAAUGCCCCGGAAAGGCGAAAUGACGAAGGAUAUUCCAUUAUUUUAGCAUUGGAUGCAUUUGACGAAAUACAUUCCAAAUACACCGAGAAAGUAAUUUGUAUACUUGAACUGCUCAGCUCUAUAAAGAGUAUUCAGUUCAUAAUCAGCUCGAGACUCCACGUGCAGGAAUUAUUGCAAAGGAAGUUCGAUGUGAAGCUAAUAUCCCUAGUCCCUUUUCGGCAUGAAGAUCAGAUCCAGUACUUGAAGAAAAUAUGGAUGAAGGACAGUGCUCAUGAAAAAGUUGUUGAAAACUUUUCGGAACUUCUUUUAAAAAAAUAUCAUUCCAGCAUUUUAUCCAACUUGAGUGAAAUUUCCGGUUUGCCUCUGAUGAUGCGAAUGCUCGCUGAAAUUUACUCUGACAAAUUCGAACAAUUUAUUUCAGCAGCAAAUUCCGACAAUAUGAAACCGUUUGAUUGGUCAGAAGACACAUUGAAUAUUGUGCAACUGUUAGAGCAGUUUGCCAAGACAUGUUUUCACAAGAAAUUUGUAGAAAAAUUUAAGUCCACCGUUGAUAUCAACGAUGCUGAAUUCAAUUCACUGACUAACGUGUACAUUUUGGAACAUCAACUGCUAGCGAUAAAGCUGCUAGACAUUGAAAUGCUCAUGGAUUUAUUCACGGUGCCGUUUUUUAAGAAAAUAUAUGACUCAUUCAAAAGCCGUUGUGAGAAGGAUGCAGAAAAGUCUAUUUUGGUGAAAGUAGUCAACAAUAAUGUUCAGUUCUGCCAUUUAUCAUUUGGUGAAUACUUCGUAGCAACAUAUUUAAGUGAUAACAUUUCCAAGUUGGAACCAAACUUAUUGAUCAACGUUCUAUCUCAACACGAUGUUAUUAGGAAACUGACACUGAUCAAGCUAGGAGAAAAUGAAAACUGCUCCGAAACUUUAAACCAUUUGUGCAGAAUAAACACGAACGUACCUUUGUGGGUAUGCAAGAGUGGUUGUCUGAAAUUGGUUUCAUCCCUAGAAUUUGAAAAGUUCUCCACUAUUAAACUAAAUUAUAUGUUAAAAGUAUCUGCGAAAUGCGGAUAUUUCGAAAUAUGUAAUUUUCUAAUUGAUUACAAUGCAAAUGUCGAUAAAUGCAAUGCGCUGCAUUCUGCCGUUGAGAAUGGCCAUCUGAGAGUUGUGAAACUAUUGAUAGCGAAAAAUGCGGACCCAAAUGAGGUGGACGAUAGGAGAUGGACUGCACUCCAUCAUGCAUGCAAAAACGGAAAUGCAGAAAUAGUUCAAUUCUUUAUUGAUCGCCGUAUGAACACUUCCUCUCGGUCAAUCGACGGUGAAACUCCAUUUCACAUUGCUGCGGAGAAUGGCCAUCUGAAUAUUGCUAAACUAUUGAUAGAGAAUAAUGCGGACCCAAAUGAGAUGGACGAUAAUAAAUGGACUGCACUUCAUUGUGCAUGCCAAAACGGAAAUGUAGAACUAGUUCAAUUCUUUAUUGAUCGCGGUAUGAACAUUUCCUCUCGGUCAACCACAGGUAGAACUCCACUUCUCAUUGCUGCGGAGAACGGCCAUCUGAGUGUUGUUAAACUAUUGAUAGCGAAU